rnacentral:rRNA from 1 species
AGAGUUUGAUCCUGGCUCAGGAUGAACGCUGGCGGCGUGCCUAACACAUGCAAGUCGAGCGAUUCUCUUCGGAGAAGAGCGGCGGACGGGUGAGUAACGCGUGGGUAACCUGCCCUGUACACACGGAUAACAUACCGAAAGGUAUGCUAAUACGAGAUAAUAUGCUUUUAUCGCAUGGUAGAAGCAUCAAAGCUUUUGCGGUACAGGAUGGACCCGCGUCUGAUUAGCUAGUUGGUAAGGUAACGGCUUACCAAGGCGACGAUCAGUAGCCGACCUGAGAGGGUGAUCGGCCACAUUGGAACUGAGACACGGUCCAAACUCCUACGGGAGGCAGCAGUGGGGAAUAUUGCACAAUGGGCGAAAGCCUGAUGCAGCAACGCCGCGUGAGCGAUGAAGGCCUUCGGGUCGUAAAGCUCUGUCCUCAAGGAAGAUAAUGACGGUACUUGAGGAGGAAGCCCCGGCUAACUACGUGCCAGCAGCCGCGGUAAUACGUAGGGGGCUAGCGUUAUCCGGAAUUACUGGGCGUAAAGGGUGCGUAGGUGGUUUCUUAAGUCAGAGGUGAAAGGCUACGGCUCAACCGUAGUAAGCCUUUGAAACUGGGAAACUUGAGUGCAGGAGAGGAGAGUGGAAUUCCUAGUGUAGCGGUGAAAUGCGUAGAUAUUAGGAGGAACACCAGUUGCGAAGGCGGCUCUCUGGACUGUAACUGACACUGAGGCACGAAAGCGUGGGGAGCAAACAGGAUUAGAUACCCUGGUAGUCCACGCCGUAAACGAUGAGUACUAGCUGUCGGAGGUUACCCCCUUCGGUGGCGCAGCUAACGCAUUAAGUACUCCGCCUGGGAAGUACGCUCGCAAGAGUGAAACU